AUAGUUUGAUCAUGGCUCCGAAGAACGUUUUGGGAGGCUUGGACGGGCAGGUCGAGGGGUAACAUGAGGUAGCAAUACUUUGAUGACGACCGGCGUACGGGUGAGUAACGCGUAUGCAACCUACCCUGUACUGGGGGAUAGCCCGGAGAAAUUCGGAUUAAUACCCCAUAAAGAUAUUUGGAGGCAUCUUGGAAUAUUUAAAGUUUCGACGGUACGGGAUGGGCAUGCGUAACAUUAGCUACUUGGUAGGGUAACGGCCUACCAAGGCGACCAUGUUUAUGGGUCCUGACAGGGUGAUCCCCCACCCUGGGACUGAGACACGGACCACACUCCUACGGGAGGCAGCAGUGAGGAAUAUUGGUCAAUGGGCGCAAGCCUGAACCAGCCAUCCCGCGUGCAGGAAGACGGCGCUAUGCGUUGUAAACUGCUUUUCCAGGGGAAGAAAACUCCCGAUGUAUCGGGACUUGCCGGUACCCUGGGAAUAAGCAUCGGCUAACUCCGUGCCAGCAGCCGCGGUAAUACGGAGGAUGCGAGCGUUAUCCGGAUUUAUUGGGUUUAAAGGGUGCGUAGGCGGAUUACUAAGUCAGUGGUGAAAACCUGCAGCUUAACUGUAGACGUGCCAUUGAUACUGUUAGUCUUGAGUACGGUCAAGGUAGGCGGAAUGUGUAAUGUAGCGGUGAAAUGCUUAGAUAUUACACAGAACACCGAUUGCGAAGGCAGCUUACUGGGCCAUUACUGACGCUGAUGCACGAAAGCGUGGGGAGCGAACAGGAUUAGAUACCCUGGUAGUCCACGCCGUAAACGAUGAUCACUCGCUGUUGGCGAUACACAGUCAGCGGCUAAGCAAAAGCAUUAAGUGAUCCACCUGGGGAGUACGGCCGCAAGGCUGAAACUCAAGGAAUUUGACGGGGCCCGCACAGCGAGACAUGUGUUUAUUCGAUGAUCGCGAGACUACUGGCUUAAAUGUACAGUGCAUUCCGAGAAAUCGGGAUUUCCUUCG
rnacentral:rRNA from 1 species